AGAUUGAACGCUGGCGGCAUGCCUUACACAUGCAAGUCGAACGGCAGCACGGGAGCAAUCCUGGUGGCGAGUGGCGAACGGGUGAGUAAUACAUCGGAACGUGCCCAAUCGUGGGGGAUAACGCAGCGAAAGCUGUGCUAAUACCGCAUAAGAUCUACGGAUGAAAGCAGGGGAUCGCAAGACCUUGCGCGAAUGGAGCGGCCGAUGGCAGAUUAGAUAGUUGGUGAGGUAAAGGCUCACCAAGCCUUCGAUCUGUAGC
rnacentral:rRNA from 1 species